GACGAACGCUGGCGGCAUGCUUAACACAUGCAAGUCGAACGGACCUUCCCGGCUUAGUGGCGGUCGGGGGGGUACCACGUGGGAACGUGCCCUUAGGUUAGGUACACCUCAGGGUAACUUGUCUUCAUACCGCAUGUGCCCUUCGCGGGUAAGAUCUCUUGCCUCUUGAGGGGCCCGCGUCUGUUUAGCUAGUUGGUUGUGGUAAUGGCUCACCAAGGCGUCGUUCAGUAGCUGGUCUGAGCGGAUGAUUUGCCACGUUGGGACUGAGACACGGCCCAAACUCCUACGGGAGGCAGCAGUGGGGAAUCUUGCGCAAUGGGCGAAAGCCUGACGAAGCCAUGCCGGGUGAAUGAGGAAGGUCGUAGGAUUGUAAAAUUCUUUCACCGGGGACGAUAAUGACGGUACCCGGAGAAGAAGCCCCGGCUAACUACGUG
rnacentral:rRNA from 1 species